UCCCUCGACCCAGGAGGCGGCGGGAAGGGCAGAGCAGAGCCGGGGCCGCCCAGUGCGCGGAGACCGGCUUAUCGUUUCUUUCAAAAACCAUUUUGGACCUUUCUGGGAAGGCAAAGAAGAGGAGCGGAGUGGACUGUGAGCGGACGUAAACCACCCUGAUGGUGCUUGUGCUAUCCAUCCAAGAAGAGCAUGUCCUAGGGAAAUGCUGCUGCUUCAGCUUGGGUCCUGGAAUGAGAGACACCUGGAAUAAACUGGCAUCUAACUCACAGUCUGGAGCCAAGUACAGAGGAAGAUACUUCAUGAAGACAAAAGCAUCUAAGGCCUGAGAAAGUGAGAAUGUGACCCUGAUUGACUGCCAUUGGUUUCCCCUUCCCCCAGUGGGGUUGGGGGGUACCCCCUGCAUUAUGUGAUUAAGUCUCUGCACCCCUAGCCUCGUUUGCAUCACUUAGGACUGCUUUCUGAACAAGAAGUGCAUAAAUAAAUGAAUGGCCUUGCGCAAGGCUCUUGAC